AGUAAUGCUUGGGAAUCUAGCUUAUGGAGGGGGAUAACUACGGGAAACUGUAGCUAAUACCGCGUAGUAUCGAGAGAUGAAAGUGUGGGACCUUCGGGCCACAUGCCAUAGGAUGAGCCCAAGUGGGAUUAGGUAGUUGGUGAGGUAAAGGCUCACCAAGCCGACGAUCUCUAGCUGGUCUGAGAGAAUGACCAGCCACACUGGGACUGAGACACGGCCCAG
rnacentral:rRNA from 1 species